rnacentral:rRNA from 1 species
AUACGGAGGGUGCAAGCGUUGUUCGGAUUUAUUGGGCGUAAAGCGAGUGUAGGCGGUUUGACAAGUCGAAUGUGAAAUCCCGAGGCCCAACCUCGGAACUGCAUCCGAAACUGUCAGGCUAGAGUCCCGGAGAGGAUGGCGGAAUUCCCGGUGUAGGGGUGAAAUCCGUAGAUAUCGGGAGGAACACCAGUGGCGAAGGCGGCCAUCUGGACGGUGACUGACGCUGAGACUCGAAAGUGUGGGUAGCAAACAGGAUUAGAUACCCUUGUAGUCC